CGAGUGGAAACCGACGUGACGCAGUGCUUGCCCGACAGCGUGCUGGUCCAGGUGUUCCGACACCUGCCAUUGGAGGACCUGCUGCUGUCCCGGGCGGUGUGCAGGCGAUGGAGGGACCUGGCGCUGCACACGGAAGUUUGGUGCACCCGCGUCGUGGAGCUAGACUCGGAUCACCUCUACCGGAGACGUUGGCUGGCUCUGAACCUGGGUCUGCCCCUGGCGCCCUGCAUCCAAAGUCUAGUGGUUUCCAUGAGCAAAUUUCGCCUUCCCUCAUUCUACUUGCCACCAUCCCGUGCCCAGUGCGACAUCUCAGGAUAGUUUGCUCUCUCUACAGAGCGGAAGAUUCAGCAAAGUUGAUGAUGCGCUGUGCCCUCGAGAAGAUAAUACGUCGGCAGGUAUCCCUCCUACGGCUGAAGCAUCUUGACAUUAUUUGGGGGGGAGUGGUCUGUCAAUGAUUCGUGGCUGCAAGCCAUGUACAGGCUGCCUGGACUGGAGCGUUUGGUCG